rnacentral:rRNA from 1 species
CCUGACUGCUAUCGGAUUGAUACUAAGCCAUGCGAGUCAUUGUAGCAAUACAAGGCAUACUGCUCAGUAACACGUGGAUAACCUGCCCUACACUGGGGGAUAAUCUCGGGAAACUGAGCAUAAUACCCCAUAGACCACUACGCCUGGAACGGUGAGUGGUUGAAAGCUUCGGCGGUGUAGGAUGGGUCUGCGGCGUAUCAGGUUGUAGGGGGUGUAAUGGACCUCCUAGCCAUCGACGCGUACGGGUUGUGGGAGCAAUAGCCCGGAGACGGAUUCUGAGACACGAAUCCGGACCCUACGGGGUGCAGCAGGCGCGAAAACUUCACACUGCAGGAAACUGUGAUGAGGGAACUCCAAGUGACUGCACAAUGUGUAGCCUUUUCUUGAAUUUUAAUAGUUCUUGGAAUAAGGGCUGGGAAAGACCGGUGCCAGCCGCCGCGGUAAUACCGGCAGCUCGAGUGGUCGUCGCUUUUAUUGGGCCUAAAACGUCCGUAGCCUGUUUGGUAAAUCUGUGGGUAAAUCAAUCCGCUUAACGGAUUGAAUUCUGCAGAGACUGCCAGACUAGGGACCGGGAGAGGUAUGAGGUACUCUGGGGGUAGGGGUAAAAUCCUGUCAUCCUCAGAGGACCACCUGUUGCGAAGGCGUCAUACUGGAACGGAUCCGACGGUCAGGGACGAAGCCUAGGGGCACGAACCGGAUUAGAUACCCGGGUAGUCCUAGGUGUAAACGCUGUGGAUUUGGUGUGUGGGGUCCGCAAUGGGCCCCAUGUGCCGGAGUGAAGAUGUUAAAUCCACUGCCUGGGGAGUACGGUCGCAAGGCUGAAACUUAAAGGAAUUGGCGGGGGAGCACCACAAGGGGUGAAGCCUGCGGUUCAAUUGGAGUCAACGCCAGAAAUCUUACCCGGAGAGACAGCAGAAUGAAGGUCAAGCUGAAGACUUUACCAGACAAGCUGAGAGGUGGUGCAUGGCCGUCGCCAGCUCGUGCCGUGAGAUGUCCUGUUAAGUCAGGUAACGAGCGAGAUCCCUGCCUCUAGUUGCCACCAUUACUCUCAGGAGUAGUGGGGCGAAUUAGCGGGACCGCCGCAGUUAAUGCGGAGGAAGGAAGGGGCCACGGCAGGUCAGUAUGCCCCGAAACUCUGGGGCCACACGCGGGCUGCAAUGGUAAUGACAAUGGGUUCCAAAUCCGAAAGGAGGAGGUAAUCCCCAAACAUUACCACAGUUAUGACUGAGGGCUGCAACUCGCCCUCACGAAUAUGGAAUCCCUAGUAACUGCGUGUCAUUAUCGCGCGGUGAAUACGUCCCUGCUCCUU